UAAGCAUAUCAAUAAGCGGAGGAAAAGAAACCAACAGGGAUUACCUCAGUAACGGCGAGUGAAGCGGUAACAGCUCAAAUUUGAAAUCUGGCCCUUUUAGGGUCCGAGUUGUAAUUUGUAGAAGAUGCUUUGGGCGUGGCUCCGGUCUAAGUUCCUUGGAACAGGACGUCAUAGAGGGUGAGAAUCCCGUAUGUGACUGGUAGCUUUCGCCCGUGUAAAGCUCUUUCGACGAGUCGAGUUGUUUGGGAAUGCAGCUCAAAAUGGGUGGUAAAUUUCAUCUAAAGCUAAAUAUUGGCCAGAGACCGAUAGCGCACAAGUAGAGUGAUCGAAAGAUGAAAAGCACUUUGGAAAGAGAGUUAAACAGUACGUGAAAUUGUUGAAAGGGAAGCGCUUGCAACCAGACUCGCAGGCCGUCGAUCAUCUCAGGUUCUCCUGGGUGCACUCGGCGGUCUUCGGGCCAGCAUCGGUUUGGGUGGUGGGAUAAAGGCCUUGGGAAUGUAGCUUCUUUCGGGGAGUGUUAUAGCCCUCGGUGCAAUGCCGCCUACCCGGACCGAGGACCGCGCUUCGGCUAGGAUGCUGGCGUAAUGGUUGUAAGCGACCCGUCUUGAAACACGGACCAAGGAGUCUAACAUCUAUGCGAGUAUUUGGGUGUUAAACCCAUAUGCGUAAUGAAAGUGAACGGAGGUGAGAACCCUUAAGGGUGCAUCAUCGACCGAUCCUGAUGUCUUCGGAUGGAUUUGAGUAAGAGCAUAGCUGUUGGGACCCGAAAGAUGGUGAACUAUGCCUAAAUAGGGUGAAGCCAGAGGAAACUCUGGUGGAGGCUCGCAGCGGUUCUGACGUGCAAAUCGAUCGUCAAAUUUGGGUAUAGGGGCGAAAGACUAAUCGAACCAUCUAGUAGCUGGUUCCUGCGA
rnacentral:rRNA from 1 species